rnacentral:ncRNA from 1 species
UAAUCAACACCGCCGGGUGUCACUUAAAAAGUUCUCUUAUCAAUUCCAUUAGGCCAAAGAAGGAAUUGUUAGGGGGACUAUUUUUUU